rnacentral:misc_RNA from 1 species
GAUGAAGAACGUAGUGAAAUGCGAUAAGUAAUGUGAAUUGCAGAAUUCAGUGAAUCAUCGAAUCUUUGAACGCACCUUGCGCUCCUUGGCAUUCCGAGGAGCAUGCCUGUUUGAGUGUCAUUAAAUUCUCAAGACCUGUCUGCUUUUUUGAUAGGUAUUGGAUUUUGGGGGUUGCAGGCUGUUUCAAAUAAAUAGCCUUGCUCUCCUUGAAUGUAUUAGUGGAGAAAAGCCAUUGAACUCCAUUGGUGUGAUAAAACCUAUCAAUGCCAGGAGCAAUAUCACUACUUCUCUCUGCUGUCUAACUGUGACUGUCUGUAUUAAUUAGUAUGGAUGGGGACAACUUGACCAACUUGACCUCAAAUCAGGUAGGACUACCCGCUGAACUUAAGCAUAUCAAUAGCGGAGGA